AUUUCUCCCUAACUGAUAUGUGGGCCAUCGACCCACACGAUAUUAACUUAAUUUUUAAGGGGAAGACUCAUUAAGGUAGCUUGCUAUCUGGGUCUUCGCGUGUCGUCUUGGCGUUACACUACAGCCCAGGCCUGGCGCACCCCAC
rnacentral:snRNA from 1 species